UUCGACUGAACGCUAGGGGGAUAUUAUGAACGAUAACUCCAAAUCAGCGGAAGUUGUUAGAUAUAUAGCGAAGUCCGUGCGAAGAGAUACGCGCCACACAGAACUUCUACCUAUCUUGAGCAUAGGUUGAAUUAGGACAUUACCUGAAGAGUGACAUUGUCUAGAGAAGACAUUAGUCUGACAUUUUAUCCAGUACCAUCGGGAUUUCAUUCAGUACCAUAUAUGCACAGAAUAGGAUAAAUUGUGAUAUUCAACUUGGACAAUGGGGUACAAACAUCUUCAGGAAAUGCUUUGGAAUCAUCAUCACUAAUUACUGGAAACAAUGAAUCUGUGUGAUAUUAAACUUGGAUAAUGGGAUUUACAAACUUCAUGAAAUGCUAUGGAAUCAUCAUCACUUCAUACAUGUACUGAACACAGACGUGGAUUUCUGGAUCUUUUUCACCAACAGAUUUUUUAAUCUGCCUGAAUUUUUUUUCAGCAUUUUAAGUAACAUUAUAUUUGGACCGUGGAAGAUAAAUUGUGGACUGAAUCAGUAACAGUGAUUUUUUCCAUACUUCUGUGAUUUAUAAAUACUAUUUGCAUCAAUUUCAAUAUAACUUGUGCCUGUGUUUAUUCGUUAGGAUAUACAAGCAAACUCGGAAAUAAAUUUAUGACAUCAAUUUUCAACAAGUUCUUUGUGAUAAUUUCAUCUUGGAAAUC